CAGCCGCCGCGGUAAUACGAAGGGGGCUAGCGUUGUUCGGAUUUACUGGGCGUAAAGGGUGCGUAGGCGGACUGAUAAGUCAGGGGUGAAAUCCCAAGGCUCAACCUUGGAACUGCCUUUGAUACUGUUAGUCUUGGGUUCGAGAGAGGUGAGUGGAACUGCGAGUGUAGAGGUGAAAUUCGUAGAUAUUCGCAAGAACACCAGCGGCGAAGGCGGCUCACUGGCUCGAAACUGACGCUGAGGCACGAAAGCGUGGGGAGCAAACAGGAUUAGAUACCCCGGUAGUCCCUGUCUCUUAUAC
rnacentral:rRNA from 1 species